CCGGCCCAUUUCUGCGGAACGUGGAUAGUCGCUGCCCCUCUCAUCUUAUCCUCUUCCUCCUCAUCUUCUGUCAGUCACUCGCUCCUCUCUCUGUUUCAGUCAAUGUCCUCUACUCAUCCUCUUCCUGUCGCGAGCUGGGGUUCGUGGGGUUAGUUGCUAGAUCUUCUCCCACUGCCUCAUCUGCUCCUACUGCUUCAGUCCAUGGCUUCUGUUCUUCCUCUUCCUGUCAUGAGCUAGGGUUCUUGGGGUUUGUUGCUAGGUGUUUCUAAUCGGGCGGUUUGGUUGCUGUUGGAUUGGAUUUCCUGGCAUCUUAUUUUUUUUCCAGGUCUUCACAGUCGGGUGUUUUGGUUGCUGUAGGAUCUGCCGUUGCUAUGGUGUCAAUGAUUUUUUUUCUUACACUUUUGCUUGAUGAGGAAUUUCUGGAAGUUUAGGUUUUCGGGAGAUGUAAUAUGUUAACAUUUAGUAAAGAUUAGGCAGGUUUUUUUUUUUGGGCUGUGUCUAUCCUAAUUAUGUGAAUGUAUAUAUAUUUAUCAUCAAGGCUGAUUUAAAUUCAAUGAUUUUACUACUGCAUCUAUAGCUUUUUUGAUAUAUUACACUGUAUAUUGUAGGCUAGUUUUAGUGUUCUUGCUUUUGUUUAAUGUGUGCAUUUUUUGUACAAUGAGUAUGCAAGUUUGUAAUUGUAGCUUUUUUUAUUUUUAGGAAUUAGGCUGUUUGUACUCAUACUCAAUUGUGUGCAUUUUUUUAGGCAUUUAGUAUAUCCUAGAUAGUUACUAAUGUAGUCUAUCAUGAAUCUUAUUUUUGCUGUUCUAAAUUCUGUGUAAUUUCAGUACGAUGAACAUGCAAGUAUCUUAUAUAUGUUGAUUUGAUUUUUUUUAAGAUGUGAAUGUGUGUGUCUAUAUAUAUAUAUAUAUAUAUCCCAGUUGAUAUUUGAUGAAUCCACACUAGUAUUAGUAAAAUUAAGAACUGAGUUAUAUAUUAUGUUAUUUUUCAUGUAGAUUGAAUUCCUUAUUGUUUAUAUCAAUAUACCUGCUCGCAAUCACUAGUGUGUAGUUAUACAUUAUUUAUUUUUUGUAAGUUUCCAAUUUAGAUUUAGUGAAUUCUUUUUCUGUGAGUUUAUAAUCAGAUUUGAGAGUGUUUAUUUCCUAUAGUCAAUUUAGGUUGUCCUUCCUGUUUAUUCUCUUUUGUUUAAUUAUGUAAUUUUUUUCUUUUUUUAUUCAAUAUUUUUGUUGUUUUCUUUCCCCUGUAGACAUGGUUUGCCCCAUUUGUCAUUGCCUGGGUGCCCCUUGUGUACCAUUUGCGGCAAAUCAAGAAGUUCCUGAAGUUUUCGAUGUUCUGCUUGAUGAGGACUGCUUUAGGAGGAUGUUUUUCUGUAGUGGAUGUUUGGCCGACUGGAGAAGGACUUUGGAAGGAAGAAAUGUGAGCAGAAGAACUACAGAGAGGUCAGAACAGAUCUGAGGUUUGUUCCAGCGUCCAUGGCAGCGGUUGAGUCGUGCGAUGUCGAGGAAGGGAAAGGAAGGAAGAAGACCUAGUGCUGUGCGUUAGAUGGAUGUUGUGUAGUGCGUUAGAUUUUGGGCUGAAUGCAGAUGGCAGAAACAACAUACUCAGAAGUUUUUCUGCGUUGUUGGGCUUUGUUGACUGGCCCCUAUUUUGUGUCAGUCAUUUUCCUAUGCCUUGUUAGUUGAUUUUUUUUUUUGCCAAUUGACUGACCCGUUUUUGGUGUCAGUCGACUGACAGAUAGCCUCACCCAUUUCAACCCCACCAAACGCCGAGAUUUCAACACGAUGUUCUGAUUUCUGAA